UACGUAGGGUGCAAGCGUUGUCCGGAAUCAUUGGGCGUAAAGCGCGCGUAGGCGGCCCGAUAAGUCCGCUGUAAAAGUCAACGGCUCAACUGUUGAAAGCCGGUGGAUACUGUCGGGCUAGAGUACGGAAGAGGCAAGGUGGAAUUCCUGGUGUAGCGGUGGAAUGCGCAGAGAUCCGGAGGAACCCAGAGGCGAAGGCGGCGCCCUGGCUCGCAACUGACGCUCAGACACGACAGCAUGGGGAGCGGAACGGGA
rnacentral:rRNA from 1 species